AACGAACGCUGGCGGCAGGCUUAACACAUGCAAGUCGAACGCGUGUAGCAAUACACGAGUGGCGCACGGGUGAGUAACGCGUGGAUAUCUGCCUUUUGGUUCGGAAUAACCCCGGGAAACUGGGGCUAAUACCGGAUGGUUCCUUCGGGAUAAAGAUUUAUCGCCAAAAGAUGAGUCCGCGUACGAUUAGCUAGUUGGUGAGGUAAUGGCUCACCAAGGCGACGAUCGUUAGCNGGUCUGAGAGGACGAUCAGCCACACUGGGACUGAGACACGGCCCAGACUCCUACGGGAGGCAGCAGUGGGGAAUAUUGGACAAUGGGGGCAACCCUGAUCCAGCCAUGCCGCGUGAGUGAUGAAGGCCUUCGGUU
rnacentral:rRNA from 1 species